GACUUCUGGUUUAAUGCACCUGGCCCGUGGCCACUAGGCUUGUGAGUGCCGGCGCGCGUUUACAAUCCUUCUAGAAAACGUUUCUGCCAUUAACUUGGUUGGGAAUGCGAUCUAGAUCUUUUACUUUGAAAAAAUUAGAGUGUUUAGAGCAGGCUUUUGAUGAAUACAUUAGCAUGGAAUAAUAAUCUAGGACUUCGGUUCUAUUUUGUUGGUUUCGAUAACUGAAGUAAUGAUUGAUAGGGAUAGUUGGGGGUAGUAUUGGCCGGCCAGAGGUCAAAUUCUUGGAUUCGGUCAAGACUAACUUAUGCGAAAGCAUU
rnacentral:rRNA from 1 species